rnacentral:lncRNA from 1 species
GGCUUGCAUUGUUCGUUUUACACCUAGCACGGGCUUGUCCGUUUCUUUUCCCUUUGAAAGAAGUUUUCGUUCCAAGAAAUUUACACUGAAAGGAAAUUCCUGGAGAGGAAUCUGAUGUCAGCGGAGGAAGCUUUUAGAUUUUCUUCCUUUCGGUGGGAUGGUCCUUGGAGCCAGCCCCAGGAUGCUCCCCGGCUGUGGAUGACCCAGCCGCCAGCCCCCUACGGAUGCCGCGCCCCAGUCUUCUGACCCGGGG